AAGUCGUAACAAGGUAACCGUAGGUGAACCUGCGGUUGGAUCAUUAAUAUAAAUCGACGUGGCCUUUCUUUUAAGGCCACAACGAACCUUAUGUGAAUUGUUUUUUGGUGAAGCAAAUGGUAGACUUUAUGGAGUUUAACUUACAACAUUUCUCUCUAUAUUGUCGAUUCCCUCUCUUUUUUUUUUAUUCUAAUUUAUUUAGGGUAUAAAAGGAGAAAGGGCCAUUUCUUUAUCACGGUCAGGGGUUUUGUUACCCUUGCUCGAUAACCCACCAUUUAUUUAUUUUGUCUGAAUAAUUCAAAUUGAGAUUAAAUUUUAAUCUUAAUAUUUUAAUGAAUAAACAACUUUUGACAACGGAUCUCUUGGCUCUC
rnacentral:misc_RNA from 1 species